rnacentral:lncRNA from 1 species
CUAACUCUGUUUCUCAAUAUUUGUUUACCCAAGGAGACAAGCACUCUUCAGCCCCUCUGGUGUGUGCAUUUCUGUUGGAAGCAACCAGGCUGGGUGCCAAUGGAGAUGAGCCCACACCUGGCUCAGAGGGCCUGUGGCAGCAUGACUUGUGCACUGCUUCAUGGUGGUCGCUGACCUGGCAGGUUAUCAUCCACUUCCCAGGAUUCUCGGCUAUCAUUUCUGUUGUGCCAGGACACAGAUUCUCCAACACACAUAUCAGGCUCCGGGAAGUUUCCGAAGAGGUAUCCAUUGAGGGCUGGAAACAGAAACACGCUAGUGGAAGAGACUCCCCUGCAGAGGCGACUGGGACCAGAAAUAGAAAACACUCAAUAAAAGUGAAGAUCAGCAUACACUGAGAACAGCCUCGGAGCUGCUGUGGGAACGCAAUAUGAGGUCAGGAGAAAACAGAGUGCUGCUCAUAUUUACAGGAGGCUCAGUCACCUUCUGUCAUAAUCCUUCACUGGCAUAUCUGCUGUCUUCACCAGAUUCUGUGCUCCUUGGAACUAGAAACCCUGUCUUGUUCAUCUUAACAGUUAUCAGGACCUAGCAGAAAAACUGGCACAUAGUAUCUACUUAAUGAAGUGACAAAAGCAUGUAGUAAGAUGGAAAGAAAAGGAAUUGAUUAAAAGGAAUUUAUGAGAACUGUUUUGUUUGUUUGUUUGUUUACUUUAAAAAGCCAAGAGAAAAACAGUUUUUACUACAUGUUGCUGGAGCAGAAUCUUAUUAAGUUUAUGGCGUAAAUCCAGGACCGAAUACUUUAAAACCAUCUA